rnacentral:rRNA from 1 species
GACGAACGCUGGCGGCGUGCUUAACACAUGCAAGUCGAACGGAAAGGCCCUUCGGGGUACUCGAGUGGCGAACGGGUGAGUAACACGUGGGUGAUCUGCCUCGUACUCUGGGAUAAGCCUGGGAAACUGGGUCUAAUACUGGAUAGGACCUUCCCUCGCAUGGGGGUUGGUGGAAAGGUUUUCGGUACGAGAUGGGCCCGCGGCCUAUCAGCUUGUUGGUGGGGUAAUGGCCUACCAAGGCGACGACGGGUAGCCGGCCUGAGAGGGCGACCGGCCACACUGGGACUGAGACACGGCCCAGAAUCCUACGGGAGGCAGCAGUGGGGAAUAUUGCACAAUGGGCGCAAGCCUGAUGCAGCGACGCCGCGUGAGGGAUGACGGCCCUCGGGUUGUAAACCUCUUUCACCAGGGGCGAAUUUAGACGGUACCUGGAGAAGAAGCACCGGCCAACUACGUGCCAGCAGCCGCGGUAA